rnacentral:rRNA from 1 species
GUUGAACGCUGGCGGCAGGCCUAACACAUGCAAGUCGAGCGGAAACAGGAAGCAGUUUGCUGCUUUGCUGAAGCGUGGCAGGCGUGUGUGACAUGUCGGGGACACUGCUUGAUGGCGGGGGUUAACUACUGGAACCGGUGGCAAUUACGGCAUAACUUCGCAAGCCCAAAGAGGGGUAGUUUCGGGCGGCUUUCCAUUCGCUUUUCGCAGAUGGGAUUAGCUAGUAGGUGGGGUAACGGCUCACCUAGGCGACGAUCCCUAGCUGGUCUGAGAGGAUGACCGGCCACACUGGAACUGAGACACGGUCCAGACUCCUACGGGAGGCAGCAGUGGGGAAUAUUGCACAAUGGGCGCAAGCCUGAUGCAGCCAUGCCGCGUGUAUGAAGAAGGCCUUCGGGUUGUAAAGUACUUUCAGCGGGGAGGAAGGGAGUAAAGUUAAUACCUUGGCUCAUUGACGUUACCCGCAGAAGAAGCACCGGCUAACUCCGUG